CCACUAAAAAGCCGCCAGUUGGAACUUUACGCCUUCCAUAGGGACGUUCGCGGUUUACUAUCCCCGACGUCGGACCGUUGGUUCCCGGCAAAAACCAAACCUAAGGUCGAAGUGCUGCUCCUGGCACCCCACGCCUUGAUGCGUAUAGCGGUCGGAGCUUCACUAUUCCCUCGACCUCCACAGCACGCCACACAGUUAGCUCUCGGGCUCUGUGUGAUCUUAGCCGCUCCGCCGCCACUCACGGUUGUCGGAGUAACACUUCCGCCCCACCAAACCUACACCAACCUCAUAUUCCUCUAG
rnacentral:lncRNA from 1 species